UACCAGCACCCCCGAGUGGUCGGGACGAUUAUUGGGCCUAAAGCAUCCGUAGCCGGUUUUACAAGUCCCCCGUUAAAUCCAGCUGCUUAACAGAUGGGCUGCGGAGGAUACUAUAAGACUAGGAGGCAGGAGAGGCAAGCGGUACUCAGUGGGUAGGGGUAAAAUCCGUUGAUCCAUUGAAGACCACCAGUGGCGAAGGCGGCUUGCCAGAAUGCGCUCGACGGUGAGGGAUGAAAGCUGGGGGGAGCAAACCGG
rnacentral:rRNA from 1 species